CCAAAUGUUCAUGUCUGUAACAAACCAGACAUGGAGGUCCACCUCCUUGGUCCACAUGUUCACGUCUCUAAUAACAAACCAGACAUGGAGGUCCACCUCCUUGGUCCACAUGUUCACGUCUCUAACAAACCAGACAUGGAGGUCCACCUCCUUGGUCCACAUGUUCACGUCUCUAACAAACCAGACAUGGAGGUCCACCUCCUUGGUCCAGAUGUUCAUGUCUGUAACAAACCAGACAUGGAGGUCCACCUCCUUGGUCCAGAUGUUCACGUCUCUAACAAACCAGACAUGGAGGUCCACCUCCUUGGUCCACAUGUUCACGUCUCUAACAAACCA